GAUGAACGCUGGCGGCGUGCUUAACACAUGCAAGUCGAACGGAAAGGCCCUGGCUUUGAGGGGUACUCGAGUGGCGAACGGGUGAGUAACACGUGAGUAAUCUGCCCUUGACUUCGGGAUAACUUCAGGAAACUGGGGCUAAUACCGGAUAGGAGAUCGUGAUGCAUGGCGGGGGUUGGAAAGUUUCGGUGGUUGGGGAUGGCUUCACGGCUUAUCAGGUUGUUGGUGGGGUAGCAUCAUACCGAGGCUUUGAAGGGUAGCCGGCCUGAGAGGUAGACCGGCCACAUUGGAACUGAGAUGCGGCCCAGACUCCAACGGGAGGCAUCAGUGGGAAAUAUUCAACAAUGGGCGUAGGCUUGAUGCAGGAACUCCGCGUGCGGGAUAACGGCCUUCGGGUAGGAAAACGCUUUCGCCUGUGACGAAUCGUCAGUGACGGAAAUGGAGAAAGAAGCACCGGCAAACUACGG
rnacentral:rRNA from 1 species